rnacentral:lncRNA from 1 species
AUUAAAUGUCUGACAUUUCCUAUUUUAGAAUGUACUUAAUAGAUUAACAUAUUUAGCAAAAAAGUAUGAAACUUUUAAUUAUGUAUAGUAAAAUAAUAAAUAAUUAUAACAAAUUAUAAUAUCUUCAAAGUAGCUUAGUGUAUCUAUCAAUCCAACAAUUUAAAACUAAAGAAAAUAAACCAUUUUAAACAUUAUUAAAUGUAUUGUUCAAAAUCAUGAAUGGAUAACAAUUGUUUCCAUUAAUUCGACAUCAUUUAAUUAAAAAAAAUUUAAACAAUUUACUGAAGAUUGGAUAAUGAGUCAAAAUUAUACGUAAAUUAAAAAAUAUACUAUUCAAGCUGAAUGUUACAAGUCACAAGUUUAUUAAAAGUAUAAUGAAUCUAAUUAUGACAAACAUUAAGAAUAAAUAUAGAAAGCUCAACUCAACAAAAUUAAUGUACACUGCUUUAUUUAUGUACAACAAAACAGCAUUAAAUUUGAACUAAUAUGCCUUUCCAUUGCAACUUGUAUAUAAGUCUAUGUAACAUUGAAUUUUUUCCAAGUUCUAUUUAUUUUUAUCAUAAGUUCAAAUGUCUUUUACUGCUUAUUACUUGAAAAAGUUACUAAUGAUAACAUACUAAAUACAAUAAUCCGUAGCAGGAGUUUUACUUACGAGAGCAUUAAUUUUGAACAGAACACAAUGUGAAGAGCAGCUGACUUUAUUUUAGUUCCAUUGUCCAUUAAUCUGUCAAAUUCAUUGUCAAUAAAAAAAAUGAUGAAUAAAAUGUCAAACAUUUAAGAAUCUUUCUUUAUUCUAAAAUUUUCAAAUAAUCAAUCAAUCAAUAAUGAUAUAUUAAUUAAAGAACAUCUAUUUAAAACAUAAACAAUAAAAUUGAAAACUUCAAAACUCUAACCAGAAUUCAAAAUUACAAGAAAACUAUGCUUUAUUGGCAUAAACUUUUAAAUAUUUCAAACUAAAAUCACUUUGACCAUUUUCAGCUCAUAAUCAGGUGUCUAAUUACUUCUAAAAGAACAGAAGUAAAUGUUAACAUUCUAAUCAUGUUAUCAAACCAUGCAAAGGGUAUCAGAAAAAUGUAAAUGGGAAUAUUUAAAUUUUAAAAUUAUUUCUAAUUUUUUUCUUUAGAAUGUUAACAUUUAAUUUUAUUCUUUUGGAAGUAAUAAAGCAUCUAAAGAUGAUCUAUAAGGUCAAAACAGCACUUAAAUUUUAAUUAUUUAGAAGUUCACUUCAAUAAAGCACUUCUUACAGAGAAUAAAACCAUAUGCAUAGAAUAAUUACACAAAAAUAUUUCUUGUAAUUCAUAAUACAAUUAAAAAUAUUUUUUCUAUUAGAUUAAUCAGUUUAAAAGCCUAAACUGGCCAAAUGACCAAGGCAAUUAAGAUAUCAGCCUAGGGACUUUGGAAACCAGAAAUUGAAUCCAAAUGACAAACACCCCAGAAAUUUUUAAGGUAUGGUCUGUCCCAAAAAUGUCAAGCCAUAUCCCUCACUACCUGGUACUUGUGCACUUGUCCAAAUCCAUGAUAGGCAAGAAAUGAAGUUUCUACUAGACCAACUAUAGUUAUGACCUUUUAGUGCUCUCUGAAUGGAAAAGGGACUAAAACCUGAAACCUAUAGUAGCAGUGGCUCUAGCAAAUUAUGGAAUGGCCUUACUGGGAAUCUAGGAGUCUAGAGCAGGUCCUCAAAAAAUAUUUUUUUAAUAAAAUAGAAUAGAAUAUAGCUACAUAAUGUACAGAAAAAAAGAGCAAAAAUAUUGAAAAUUUAAAUGUUAAAAAUUGAUUAUUUGUAUUUGUUGGAUAAAUAUGUAAACAGAAUUUUGUCAUUUGGAACACCGGAAAGGGAUGGCCAAAAUUUUCUAGAGACAGUUUACAGCUCUAGCUACAGGCCUGGUAUGAAAGAAGGCCCCUCUCAGUGCUCACAAGAAAGGAAAAAAAAUGUCUGAAUUGUUUUAAGGAUCAAAAACUAUAAUUUCUAAUAAAACAUUUGAAAUAUCAUAUAGAUCCAUGUUUAAGAGAGACUAUCUAACAGUCAGAUUUACAAAAUAAAAGCAAACCUUCUGAAUCUUUUGCAAUAUUAAUUCUAAACACAA